AUAUUAGAUAGAGGUGCGGAUACGACAAGCACUUGCGAGCCGGCAGGCAAUGAACAAGUGUAUAAGCAAGUCCGCCGAACUGUAGUUUCAGGCAUGAUGCUAUGGUGGGUUCAUGGAGAAGAUCCAUGAAACUGUCUGCGAUAUUGUAGAUGUGCUAUCUUACUU
rnacentral:ncRNA from 2 species